UAUUGGACAAUGGGCGCAAGCCUGAUCCAGCAAUACCGCGUGUGUGAAGAAGGCCUUAGGGUUGUAAAGCACUUUCAAUUGGGAGGAAAACCUGCCGGUCAAUACCCGGUAGCUUGACAUUACCUUUAGAAGAAGCACCGGCUAACUCCGUGCCAGCAGCCGCGGUAAUACGGAGGGUGCGAGCGUUAAUCGGAAUUACUGGGCGUAAAGCGUGCGUAGGCGGUUCGUUAAGUCAGAUGUGAAAGCCCUGGGCUCAACCUGGGAACUGCAUUUGAAACUGGCGGACUAGAGUUUAGUAGAGGGGAGUGGAAUUUCAGGUGUAGCGGUGAAGUGCGUAGAUAUCUGAAGGAACACCAGUGGCGAAGGCGACUCCCUGGACUAGAACUGACGCUGAGUACGAAA
rnacentral:rRNA from 1 species